rnacentral:lncRNA from 1 species
AAAAACUACAGACUCGUAGCAGCAAGACAGUCUGAAUUAGAGGUUCUUUCCCAAGAAGAACCUAAGCUCAGCCCAGUGGAGACUUCUUCAGAGGCACUUGAGGAGAAGAUCAGGGCCCUCAGGGAAGAGAAUAAAAGACUGCGAGACCAGCAGAGUGUAGCAUCUUCUGCAGCCAGUAAAGAUCUUGAGAUCCGAGUCAAGGCUUUACAGAAGGAGAACACCAGGCUGCGCUUCAUGGCAGUUAAAGAAAUUCCAUCACUCUUGGCAGCUGUGAGAGCCCUCAUUUCAGCUAAGGUCACAGAGAGCUAUGAAGCUGAAGGCGAAUAUGAGGUUUCUCUACCAUCUCCACCUCCUCAACCCACAUCACCCAAACCAACAACAGUGCAACUAGGGAAUGGUGACGCCGCCGCAGUGUCUGCCCAUUGUUGGGAGAUGGCAAAGGCACAAGCCACAGCAAAAGGAAUGGCCCGCACCCUUCUGCUGGGCCUGUUCAGCAUUGACGUCCUGCUCAAUUCCAACCUGACAGGAGGGAUCAACAAGGGCGAUCCCUCUGCGGAAAGACGCCAGCCUCUGGACCCAGAGAAGCUUAAAGCUUUACUCAAUGCAGUUGUCCAACAACACCCAAGGGCGAAGAUUCCAGAAAUACGGACGGCAAUAAACAAAGGAUCUGUGAGUUAAGACACCAGGAGAAGAAAAAGUCCAAGGACAACUGAAGGACUGGCCAAUCAGAGCGGGUCUUGAUGUUGGCAGGGAUUGUUGUCCUGUUUUUUUCCACUGAGGGACUGUUGUGUUUUUGUUGCACUGAUUACUGUUUUAUUGUAAUGGACAGUUGUCCUAUUGGACAUGUUUUAUCAGUGUUUCUGUUAAUUUAUUGUUGUGUUGCCAUUGAAAAGUGCCUUUCAUUCUGUGUGUUUCUUUCAGCUGCUGCCUUAACAUUCAGUUAAUGUAAACUAAAGUGGUGUCUUAUUUGAUGUAUAUUUUAUAUUAAAAUAUGACAGACAUUGUACGU